rnacentral:rRNA from 1 species
UACGUAGGGUGCAAGCGUUGUCCGGAAUUAUUGGGCGUAAAGAGCUCGUAGGUGGCCUGUCGCGUCGGCUGUGAAAAACUCGGGGCUCAACUCCGAGCUUGCAGUCGAUACGGGCAGGCUAGAGUUCGGCAGGGGAGACUGGAAUUCCUGGUGUAGCGGUGAAAUGCGCAGAUAUCAGGAGGAACACCGGUGGCGAAGGCGGGUCUCUGGGCCGAUACUGACGCUGAGACGCGAAAGCGUGGGGAGCAAACAGG